AUGCACAAAGGCCUCGCCUCCGCCACUCUGCUCGUGCCAUGGAUGAUCUGGAAACAUCGCAAUGGCUGCGUUUUCGAGGGAGACUGCCCUUCGGUCACCUCCCUGAUUGCCACGAUCAAGGCUGAGGCUGCCCUUUGGGCCAGAGCUGGGGCCCUUGGCCUCCGCGUCAUCCUGCCCCAAACCUGGGAUGUUCACUAA
rnacentral:rRNA from 1 species